rnacentral:lncRNA from 1 species
AGAGGUCAGGACCAAAGUGGGUCAGAACUCCGUUCCUACAGUGCACUUGACUAGAGGCAUUUACAAAUUUGCUUUGAAGAAACAGUUUGGCUGUCACAUGCCAUGCGCAACCAGUGUUCCAUUCACCGUUGUCAACAAAGUCGUUAGUACUUGAAAAUCGAACCAGAGAAGACCAGUUCUCAAGAACAUGGCACUCAUCCAGGAGCCUGUCCCAAGGC